UGACAUUAUUAGGGGCUAAACAGCAGCGCUAACACAGCUCCUCCCUCUCCUUUCAGAUCUGUACAAAAACGGACUUCAGAGGGACACCUUCCUACCUUUCAUCGACGCGUUGAAGGUGAAGACUAAGUCAUCCCUUCUUCGCUCCUCUGUGUCUUUUUUAAAAAUGGGUUUUCUACCUGAGAAGCACACAGUGUCACACACGGUGUCACAAAGCUGUCUUCGGUCAUACCUGGUGAUGGUGAAAGACUCAAACGGACACAGAGAGAGCGAGGGUGAGGGUGGUGCUGUUGGCUGAGGCUUCUCUGGAGGGAGGAAGGACGACCGCAAACGCCAGCUACUCGACAUCCUGGUUCUGAGCGGGGUGGACCACGGCCCAACCACAGCAAGAUCACAACAUGACCACAAACACAUUCCUUGAUAUAAACAUCUCUGUUAUUGUGUUGUUAACCCCUCUGUUUGUGGCUGUUUGUGUUAAACCCUCUUGGUGGUCAUGUUUGUGUCAACCCGAUUGUUUUUGGUAAUGUUUGUGUCAACCCGAUUUGUUUUUGGUAAUGGUUUAGCCCACUGUUUGAGGUUUUGGUAAUGGUUAACCCCACUGUUUGAGGUUGUGGUUCUGUUAAUGACUCUGUUCUGUGGUCCUGUUUGUAGGAUGUGGGGGACUGCCUGUCUCUGUUCACAGCAGAGGAGGAGAUCUUUACGUUUCAGAGGACCAUCUCAGUCCAGACUGACCGAGAUGCAGACGGAGAUGUACUGGACCCAAAGGGACCGAUUUCACACAGCACACACAAAGUGAGGAUCCGCAGUAAAGUACUUCUAAAGACCUGAAAACACAUAGAGGGGACAGAUGUGUUGGAUGCCUCCGGGUUCAUUCAAAUGGCAGGCAUGGCUUGAACGAGCUGAAGAGAGAAACUGACUGAAAUGCUGGGCUGACUUUAUACAUUUCUACCAGAAGAUGGCAGCAAAUGAUGGCCUACAGAAGCAUUCAUUCAUCCACCCCCUGUGUCCCUUUCCUCUCUCUGAUGCCCAAAGACAUUGUACCAAGUUGGGUCAGAGCCCUUCUCGCAAGCAAGGGGGAGGCCGAUGACAUAAGAGCAUCAGACUAACUCCUUGAAUGGCAUACUCCUUGAAGUUUGCAGUUGUCUAAAAAACACUAUUUUGCUUAAAAUGUAUUUUUCUUACCCUUAAGUGGAUGUACAUUACUGUAUUUAUACUUGGGAUAUUGUUUUUCAACAGGAAAGGUUCAAAUAUAGCUGGAGUGUGUCUUUAACCCUCCACUGCAGUAGCUAACUGCAGGCACCAAACUGCUGUAUCAGCCAUUCCUCUUUAUAUACAUAGCUGGGACAGGAGGAACAAAGAGGAGCAUGUUUACAUGUGAGCGUGCGUGCAUUCGUUCUUGUGUUAAUUUUGUAUACAGAACAAAAAUAUAAACGCAACAUGCAACAAUUUGAAAGAUUUUAUUGAGUUCAUAGAAGGAAGUCAGUCAUUUGAAAUAGUCAGUAUACAUGCAUGUGUAUGUACUUCGUUUGUUAUAAUUAUAAAUGAAAUAGUGUUGAUGUUUUCCAUGUAAAAUUCAAAGCCAUAACACAACCAAUGCCUUGCAGAAUGUGUGUGUUUUGUCUGAUUUAGUAUAUAGGAUUGUUAUCCAUUCCUAAUCAAUGCCAUCCGUUCCAAGAAUGAAUUGAUGAAUACCGCGCACAGGUGGAAUUCGCGCAUUCCUGUACAUAAAUCGAGAGAGCGUGUCCCCCCUGCAAGGUGGACGCGCACUUUACACAACAUCUUCUCUGGAACAAAGACGUAUGGAGGCUGACUGAUGCUGGUGUUUUGGUACGGUUUUGGUACGGUCUUGGAGGUGGGAGGGGAGGGGAGGGGCAACCACUCCGAAGUAUCACAUACAGGACAGAUAACCAUAGCAUUUAUUCCCUUAUCUCUUCAUUAUGAAUGACGUCAUGUGUUUGAAGAGGUCGAUCUGGUUUGAAGGGGGCGUGUUCUGCGCGUGCUGUCCACAUUGAUUGACACCCAUGCUCACGGAUUAAAGGUUUAAAGAUACUGUCAUUAAAAGAAAAAUGACUUAACUUGACUUAAAGACUUCACUAUUUCAUUAUAAUAUUUGGUAGAAUGCAUGUCAUUUAAGUUAUGAAUAAAGUAUAGGCUAAUAUCCAACACAAGGAAAACAAACACCUACUUGCAUAUACCUAAAUUGUUACAUAUGUGUAGGCCUAUGUCAGUUGUUACAUUCUAACAGUGCACCACAGCGGAAGUGGAAAUAAUGCUACAUAUGUCAACCAUACCUUUAACAAUA